GCUUAGAUAAUUUGAUGGUUCUUAAUCUAAAGCCUUAAAAAAAAAAAUUCCUGAAUCUUUUCCAUCUAGUUAUGUUUCAAAAGUUCAUUUUUUUUGGUUAUUUGUAGGUUAUUUGUAUCACAAUAUUGUUUUUUCCAUACUAUGAUGAACUUGAAUUAAAGUUUUCACCUAGAAAUUUUAGCCAGGCUUGCUAUUUGAAUGAAAGGCCACAUGUGUAAACAGAAAGCGAUGGUGAUGAAAGGCUUAUACAGUACUGCACAUAGAGUUAUCAACGGCUGCUCUGAGUGUGUGUUUAUAUGUGCGUUGUUGUUAGAACGCAGCCGCGGCGGCGAGCGGCGCGCUAUCAUUCUUGUUGUGUUCUGUGUGUUGUA